rnacentral:rRNA from 1 species
GACGAACGCUGGCGGCGUGCUUAACACAUGCAAGUCGAACGAAGUGGCGAACGGGUGAGUAACGCGUAAUCAACCUGCCCUUCAGAGGGGGACAACAGUAGGAAACGACUGCUAAUACCGCAUACUGAAGGAGGGGAUUGCGUCUGAUUAGCUAGUUGGAGGGGUAACGGCGCACCAAGGCGAUGAUCAGUAGCCGGGCUGAGAGGAUGAACGGCCAAAACGGGACUGAGACACGGCCCAGACUCCUACGGGAGGCAGCAGGGGGGAAUCUUCCGAAAUGGACGAAAGUCUGACGGAGCAAAGCCGCGUGGGUGAUGACGGCCUUGGGGUUGUAAAGCUCUGUUAAUCGGGACGCGGUACCGGAAUAGAAAGCCACGGCUAACUACGUGCCAGCAGCCGCGGUAAUUC